AGAAAGUCCCGCAAGGAAAGCUGAAAGAGAAAUGAACCACCCCAUAUAAGCGCUAAGAAACAAAGACUAAACCUUGUACCUUUUGCAUCAUGAUUUAGCCAGCACCCUCAAGCAAAGAGACCUUUAGUUUGAAACCCCGAAACCAGGUGAGCUACCCCGAGACAGCCUAUAUUAUUUAGGGCUAACCCGUCUCUGUGGCAAAAGAGUGGGAAGAGCUCCGGGUAGAAGUGACAGACCUACCGAACCUGGUGAUAGCUGGUUGUCUGAGAAAUGGAUAGAAGUUCAGCCUCAUACGCCCCAGAUCAACAUGUAUAUUAUUAAGAUACUCAAGGGAAAUAUAUGAGAGUUAGUUGAAAGGGGUACAGCCCUUUUAACAAAGGAUACAACCUUUACAGGAGGAUAAAGAUCAUAAUAUAUAAAACAUACUGUUUUAGUGGGCCUAAAAGCAGCCACCUAAAUAGAAAGCGUUAAAGCUCAGACAGAAGGAAGUUUAUUAUACCGAUAAAAAAUCUUAUUCCCCUAAUUAUAUCAGAUCAACCCAUGCCCACAUGGAAGAGAUUAUGCUAGAAUGAGUAACAAGAAGACCUGCACUUCUCCUUGCACAAGUGUAAGCCAGAUCGGACAAACCACUGGAAUUUAACGAACCCAACCCAAGAGGGCAAUGUGAACAACAAAAAUAUCGAGAAGAAUUCACAAUUAGACUGAUCGUUAACCCCACACUGGAGUGCCAUUUUAUAAAGGAAAGACUAAAAGGUGGGAAAGGAACUCGGCAAACACAAGCCUCGCCUGUUUACCAAAAACAUCGCCUCCUGCAACUAAAUUGAGUAUAGGAGGUCCAGCCUGCCCAGUGACUACGGGUUCAACGGCCGCGGUAUUUUGACCGUGCAAAGGUAGCGCAAUCACUUGUCUCUUAAAUAGAGACCUGUAUGAAUGGCUAGACG
rnacentral:rRNA from 1 species